CCUACGGGGGGCAGCAGUGGGGAAUAUUGGACAAUGGGGGCAACCCUGAUCCAGCCAUGCCGCGUGUGUGAAGAAGGCCCUCGGGUUGUAAAGCACUUUCAGUGAGGAAGAACGCCUGGUGGUUAAUACCCAUCAGGAAAGACAUCACUCACAGAAGAAGCACCGGCUAACUCCGUGCCAGCAGCCGCGGUAAUACGGAGGGUGCGAGCGUUAAUCGGAAUUACUGGGCGUAAAGCGCGCGUAGGUGGCUUGAUAAGCCGGUUGUGAAAGCCCCGGGCUCAACCUGGGAACGGCAUCCGGAACUGUCAAGCUAAAGUGCAGGAGAGGAAGGUAGAAUUCCCGGUGUAGCGGUGAAAUGCGUAGAGCUCGGGAGGAAUACCAGUGGCGAAGGCGGCCUUCUGGACUGACACUGACACUGAGGUGCGAAAGCGUGGGUAGCAAACAGGAUUAGAUACCCUUGUAGUC
rnacentral:rRNA from 1 species